UACAGAGGUCUCAAGCGUUGUUCGGAUUCAUUGGGCGUAAAGGAUGCGUAGGCGGCGCGGUAAGUCGGGUGUGAAAUUUCGGAGCUUAACUCCGAAACUGCAUUCGAUACUGCCGUGCUUGAGGACUGGAGAGGAGACUGGAAUUUACGGUGUAGCGGUGAAAUGCGUAGAUAUCUGGAGGAACACCGGUGGCGAAGGCGGCAUCCUGGACCGGCAUUGACGCUGAGGAGCGAAAGCCAGGGGAGCAAACGUG
rnacentral:rRNA from 1 species